rnacentral:siRNA from 1 species
UAAGGCCUUUUGGAAAGCCUUCCA